AUUGAACGCUGGCGGCAGGCCUAACACAUGCAAGUCGAGCGGAUGAAGGGAGCUUGCUCCUGGAUUCAGCGGCGGACGGGUGAGUAAUGCCUAGGAAUCUGCCUGGUAGUGGGGGAUAACGUCCGGAAACGGGCGCUAAUACCGCAUACGUCCUGAGGGAGAAAGUGGGGGAUCUUCGGACCUCACGCUAUCAGAUGAGCCUAGGUCGGAUUAGCUAGUUGGUGGGGUAAAGGCCUACCAAGGCGACGAUCCGUAACUGGUCUGAGAGGAUGAUCAGUCACACUGGAACUGAGACACGGUCCAGACUCCUACGGGAGGCAGCAGUGGGGAAUAUUGGACAAUGGGCGUAAGCCUGAUCCAGCCAUGCCGCGUGUGUGAAGAAGGUCUUCGGAUUGUAAAGCACUUUAAGUUGGGAGGAAGGGCAGUAAGUUAAUGCCUUGCUGUUUUGACGUUACCAACAGAAUAAGCACCGGCUAACUUCGUG
rnacentral:rRNA from 1 species